rnacentral:rRNA from 1 species
UGGGGAAUUGUUCACAAUGGGCGCAAGCCUGAUCCAGCAAUGCCGCGUGAGUGAAGAAGGCCUUCGGGUUGUAAAGCUCUUUUGUCAGGGAAGAAACGGUAGUAGCGAAUAACUAUUACUAAUGACGGUACCUGAAGAAUAAGCACCGGCUAACUACGUGCCAGCAGCCGCGGUAAUACGUAGGGUGCAAGCGUUAAUCGGAAUUACUGGGCGUAAAGCGUGCGCAGGCGGUUGUGUAAGUCAGAUGUGAAAUCCCCGGGCUCAACCUGGGAAUUGCAUUUGAGACUGCACGGCUGGAGUGUGUCAGAGGGGGGUAGAAUUCCACGUGUAGCAGUGAAAUGCGUAGAUAUGUGGAGGAAUACCGAUGGCGAAGGCAGCCCCCUGGGAUAACACUGACGCUCAUGCACGAAAGCGUGGGGAGCAAACAGGAUUAGAUACCCAAGUAGUCCCUGAGCGGGCUGGCAAGGCGCAU